rfam:Bacillus subtilis subsp. subtilis str. 168 complete genome.
AUAAAUGGAUCACAGGUUAAGUUCACCGCAUCCUGCGGCGACACCUGUGUGACCUGCGUCGUGCAGG